rnacentral:lncRNA from 1 species
AGAAUACCAAAAGUGAGGACCUCCUAAUUUCAUAGUUGGAUUUAACAUAGCAGACACACCAAAAAUAGGGGGGAUUGGAAAAAAAUAUUUUUUAAACUUUUUUUUCAUUUCAGUUAUUGCAAGUUCAUAAAUGUCACCUCCCUUGCUAAAAUCAACAAACAAAUUAGCAAGUGCGGCAAUAUAAACUAAACAGUUAGAAAUAGUCGGAUAAUAUUGUC